ensembl:lncRNA
GAGACGGGGAGGGGAGGGGGGGUUGACUAAAGCUGGCCAGAGGUUUGGACGGGAUGCUGGGAGUGAGGGAGGGAGGAAGCAGGGGGAGAAAGGAGAGGAUUUCAGCAGCACUAAAUGAGUGAUGAAAGGGGAGAUUUAAGGAGGAAAUGGGGGGUUUAAGAGGACGCCAUGAGGUGAAGUGGACCGGGUGAGGAAGAGAUGUGAGAAGGAAUGAAACGCAGGGUAAUGCGAUGGCAAAGAGGGCAGGAAAGGAGCGCGACGGUGUGGGACGGAAAAAGGGCCGAGGAGGAGGGGCCAAAGGUCGGCGGAGGCGGGGAGAAUGCCGCCAGCGCUUCGAGCUCGGGGAAAAAAAACGCGAAGGUGACGGAGAAAAGACGAUGACUCCGAACAAAGAGAAAAUAGAAACAGCGCGAGGACGUGGGAGAUCUUAACAGGAGGCGCAGAUCGAGGGCAGAUAGGAAAGCGGAGAAAAGACGUAGCGAUAAAGCGCCCUGUGAGCGAGCGGGAGGAGGGCAGAAGGCCGGCGAAGGAGCGAGACGGAGGUGAAGACAGGUUAGCCACUUACGAGAUACGAGGAGCGACACAGAGAGGUCACAGGCAGCGUUUACCGCCGCCGCUCAUCUCACUUCUCCGUCGCAAACAAAGAUCCAAUUCUCUUUUUUUCAGGCCACACCAGGGCGAUAACACCAGGGCGAUACCACCAGGGAUAUAACACCAGGGCGAUACCACCAGGGAUAUAACACCAGGGCGAUACCACUAGGGCCAUAACACCAGGGCAAUACCACCAGGGCGAUACCACCAGGGCGAUACCACCAGGGCAAUAACACCAGGGCGAUACCACCAGGGCCAUAACACCAGGGCCAUAACACCAGGGCGAUACCACCAGGGCGAUAACACCAGGGCGAUACCACCAGGGCGAUACCACCAGGGCCAUAACACCAGGGCCAUAACACCAGGGCGAUAACACCAGGGCCAUAACACCAGGGCGAUACCACCAGGGCCAUAACACCAGGGCGAUACCACCAGGGCCAUAACACCAGGGCCAUAACACCAGGGCCAUACCACCAGGGCCAUAACACCAGGGCCAUACCACCAGGGCCAUACCACCAGGGUGAUAACACCAGGGCGAUACUACCAGGGCGAUAACACCAGGGCGAUACCACCUGGGCCAUAACACCAGGGCGAUAACACCAGGGCCAUAACACCAGGGCGAUAACACCAGGGCGAUAACACCAGGGCCAUAACACCAGGGCUCACGUUUGACAAAUACAGACUGUGAAAGGCGUGGGGGGGUUGGGGGGGGAACCAUGACAACCGUGAGUGGAAACACAGGGAUUCACUGAAGCGAGCCUGCAUGUGUGCAGAGUUCAGCAGUUCAUAACGGACACAUCUGCAUCACAGGUGACCUUUCAAAGCCGGAUUGUGUGACUUUAAUAUCUCUUUUUUACCCCCCCCCCCUCUCACUAUCACACACACACACACAUACGCUGUUCCACUUCCACCUCUUUUCUAUAACAAGAGGCAAUUACCUCUCAUCUCCUCACACAUACCUAGAGCCUCCUAACUGUCGACACCCCCUCGCCGUUUCCCUUAGAAGCUGACAGGGAGGUUCUGAUGGUGAUUUGGCAGCGUGUCAUCGCGGGUAAUGGCGUUUGGAGUUGCCGCCUUCAUUGGGCUACUUAUUAACGCGUUUGAUCUACGCGCACCCUCCUUAGCACUCUUCUCCUCUUUUCCCACCGCGGAGAUCUUUGACAGGCGUAGAAAUGAGGCGGAAGGCUCUGAGAGACUUUUCAAUCUCUCCUGGGAGGGAAUUGGAGCACAGGGGUGGGUGGGCUGCUGGAGAAUGGACACAAUCUCACACACUUCACCAGGUUUUCAGAAGUUUAAUAUUUCAGCUCCCCCUAUUGAGGCCUUCUGCUGCUGCGGAGCUUCUCGGCGGCUUCAGACGUGCCGGUGCGGACACCUUCCAAAUGAAUGAGACAUUUCUGGGAUGAAGUGGGGAAUCCUUCCCUCCAGAGAAACAUGGGGGGGGAUUCGAGGCCCAGUCGGUGCUGACUCUUGACUAGAUGCAUAGAUUGUUUGGGGGGGAGGAAAGAACGGCUGGUUGAGAGGAGUAGAAGGGGUGAGGAGGGGGGGGUGAGAGGGGGGGUUUAGAUGUGUUAACCCAUCACGCCGUAAUGAAUGUGUGCCAUCUGUCUCUGCAGCUCUAUUAAAAACUUCCAUAGAGGAUCCGAGAUCACGUCCCACGCGCGCGCACACGCGCACGCAGGCACAGCACGUGUAAUUGCGGCGGCGUGGGGCGUCACCUCUAACAUCCCCAAUCAAAGAACGCGCGCGCACUGGCGCAUGGUCGCGCGCUGCUCCCGGGGACCCGCGCGCGGAUCAGUGUAACGUGAAUUACACUGCGCGAGGACCCGCAUCGGCGUAUGUGGCGGUGCGUUCGUUGCGUUGAGCUGAUGAAGUUGUGAGGGCGGCGUGAGGAAGGGUGGGCGGAACGUCGCACGCGCGCACUUUUAAUUAACUGCGUCCUCCCGUGAUGACAAGGUACUAACAAGACCAACUGCACUCAAUCAUGCCGCAGGAGUGUUUGCUGUGUGUGUGUGUGUGUGUGUGUGUGCGUGUGCGUGUGUUGAUGCACGGCGCCUCCGCCCCUUCUCGCUCAGCGCCAGUGUGUCGAGAAUUAGUGGAGACUCAUAAUUGCAUGAAAACUAAUUUGGUCUCUGAGAAACCCUUGUUAAUGCCUCGCGAUUUUAUUGUCUCGUCCUCUGUGGCCGUAAAUGAUGUGAAUUACUGUUCUUCUUGCCUAUAAGUACGCAAAGAAUUAGGCUUCCGUGGAUGAUAGAUCCAGUUGGAAUAACGGCGCCUUGCAUUAAAGUCUAUAUCUUCAUGCCACGAGAAGCUCCCACACACGUCUCACAACAGGACGCUGAUUUGAUGAUUAACAAUGUAAUUCCUGUCACGUCCUUUUUAUGUAUUUAUUUUAAACGUGUCUGGUGGAGAACUGUGAGGUGAUUAUCCCGAUAUCUUCUUUCAGGACAAUUUGAGUACCAAACUAUGAAAUGAUUACUCGCCCAAUAGAAAAGUGGAUUCCGCAGCAUGCAUUAUGGACACAGAAACCUUCCCUCGCUCAGUGUAUCUGUCCAUGAGAUCGCUUUGGUUUUAUAGCCACGGUUUGAGGCCUUUAUCUGAUCUGCAGUCUGCUUCCUACAGAUGGAGAUGAAGUAAAUGUGGUUUCUGAAAAAUGUACGUCCAGAAAAUGCAGCAGCGCCUGCGUCGGCUGUGCACUGCACAUUUUAUUCUAUUUUACCUUUUUUAAUGUUUCUAUCUUUUUAUUUAUUUUUUUUAAAUGUUUUAAUCAAUGUCCUUUUACUGUUUUAAAUCUCCCUGCUUCACGCUUGCAUGUUUUAAUGGUUCUAUGUGCAGCACCAUGAAUUGCCUUGUGUUGAAAUGUGCUAAAUAAAAUGGCUUUGCCUAUUAAUUAUGUUACGUUGUAGAUUGUGCGCGACAGCCUUUCCAGUGUGACAGUAUGCAUGAUCUGUGUGCCUGAAUGCAACAGAGCCUUAAAUAGUGUUAUUAAUUGCACCUGUUUCCCUGCAACGACGUGUCAAAUUAAUGCUGCGGAAAGGUGCUAUUACACGAGCUUUAGCUUUCCUUUAGUAGCAACCUGUCAAUGUCAGAUCACAUUUGAAAAUGGACACGCCCCCUUCUUACCUGCCUGAUCUUUAACCUUUAAUUCCACAAAAUACAGGAGUCCUGUCUGUUCCAGGAUUGAGAAAGAACUCAGCGGGCCAACAUCAGACUUUCUUACCACACCCCGUUGUUAUGAAGAGCCCCUGGACAUCAGACCGCUUUCUGUAUAACUAUAUACUAUAAAUACUGCUUUCAAUCAUCUACUUUCUGCAGGAAAUCCAUCUUCAAGUUAAAGUUAAUCCAUGAGAUUGCAUAUAGCUUUUAUAAAGCCAUUGAUGCCCAUUCAUUUCACCCCAUAGUUAACAUUCCUCUCAUGGCGGCUGUCUCCCCCUUUCCCCAAACACUCCAGCUCCCGUUUUCCAUAAGACUUCUCCCUGCGUCAGAAGGUCCCUCAGGGGUCCCAAAAGCCAACGCGUGUCAGCACAGUGUUGCUCAAGAUGCUAAGCUACACUGGAGCUGUUGUAACUUGAUGUCUGAGUGUGAGUACGUGUGUGCGUGUGUCAGCGUAAUAGAGGAAGACCAAAAAAAGGAGGAAUCGAGAAGAAGUUAUGAGAAAAAUCGAAGGCAAACAUUAUUACGCCAAGUCACGUUGAAUACAUUAUAAUAUAAAUUAGGAAUGUGCAAAGAGUUGAUAUUUGGCAUCCAUAUGCUCUGACAUCAUCGACGCAUUAUGCUCAUCACAGCGGAUAAUUGGUCCCUGACAUGCAUAUUAGAUUCACAUAUUUGCUUAGAGACGACAGCGUGACAAGAUAAUGAUGACCAUUGCGGGACAUGGGUGAAAGCUUAAUGUAUAUAAUUGGGGCUGAGUGUAAAACUGGAGCUCAGCACUUUGAAUGUAAAAAGUUGCUACACUUUGGAGGAAACAUCCGACAUGAAGGCACGAAAAGAUAAACCUAUAUUAAACAAAUGUGAUCAGGAUCCAAAUACAUGAGUUCACCGUCCAUGAAAGAAGUCAACGAGAAGCGAAUGAGGCUCAAACAACUGGUUUCAACAACUUAUUAGAAGAUGAGAACAAUAUGAUGUCAUGUAUUUUUUGGGGUGACAUCAACUUUAACAUUUAAACCUGCAAAACAAGUAGGUUUAAUCAAUUAAUUUUUUAAUUGAAGCACUUCAGAACAACCCAUUUCAAAAGCUUUCUGUCUUGUCCUUUAUUCUUUAAUGCAUCUCUUAAUCCUCUUGAAACAAGAGAGCAUUUAUUUAUUAAUAUGUCAUAUAUUAUGUGUGAUUUCUCCAGUUCAAUUUGAAAAGAGACAAUAAAUAUUGCUGGUGACUACAUAGAGACUUUAAUACAACGGUUAGGCUACUUCAAUGUUCAUGGAAAUAAAUGAGACAUUCUGAUGUUUCUGACUUUUCCACGACAAAGUUCUCCUGAAAUGGACCUCGCCAAACUCUAAUUGUCAUCUAAUUGGAAUAAUUGAUAGCAAAUUACAGGCAUUGCUGCCCCUAUUCUCUCCAGCAGCAGCUAUUUUGGAGUUGAAUUCUGCCUUUCAUAAUUCUACUUCUACUACUGCCCACGCGAGGACGAAGAAGUGGAGCGGCGGUACGGCGCCACUGUUCAGGGCUUUGAGGAAGGCGAUGGAUGCGGACCAAAGGACUUCCAGCCACCGGAGUGGGACGACAGAUGGAGCCGUUUGGUUUCCUACCAAGAACCGCAGACUUGGAGGUCGGCGCUCGCCUGGGAUGUGAUAAUUCACACCGAUAUACUAGUUUUGCGACUGAAGCCACCAAAUGCAAACAUCUCCAGCUGAAGAGAAACCACAAACCUACGGCGCCGCAACGCAGCUGCUGUCUCUAAGAAGUGCGGCAGCACGGAGAGAAAAGGCUUGUUUGCUGAGAGCUGGCUGGCCGGAGCCCGUUCGGAUGAACACGCCGCGCGUUGGUAUUCGGCCAUGAUGCCCAUGACUCAACAGGGAGCGGAGAGGUCAGCGGCACGUCCCCGUUUAAACUUGAAUAUUGCAUGAGCAGUUCUCGGGGUGGAGGGAGAGAUUAUUGCGUUUGGGAUGUGUUGUGAAAAUAAGCAAAAUGAAUGCAUUUGGAAUACCAACAGGACCAGUGAUGAACGUGCACUGCAAAACUGCUGUAAAAGAAAUACAAUGCAAAUAAGUCCAUUUCUUUAGCAAAAGUUCAUGGCGAGUUCAUCUGUGUAUAGUCUUGUCCACCAGCUCUCCAAAAAACGCAUUCUGUGCUUUUUACGUUCACAUACAAUUUGAUAUUCAUCGACAUAAUUCAUUCAGUAUGAUUAAUUAAUCCAUUUUAGCUGUUGCUUAUAAUUAUAAUAUAAUUAGUUAUAAUAUUCCAAACCUACAAACAUUAAUUCAGCCUUCUAAACAAGACACCCAAUUGAUGGUUUGCAUAACUCAUCCACAGUAGUCAGUAGUUAGGAGAAAGAUGUUGCUCUAGGAGGGUCAUGAGGUUCAUCUUAUGGGCUCUCUGCCAUUAAAAUAGGAUGAAAUAAUGAAACGCAAAAGGAGGCGUGAAAGCUGUACGUGCACGCGCGCCCACACGGCUCUGCACGACAUCUGCUUACUCUGCAAGCAACUUGUCAUAUGAGAAUGUGAGAUCAGAGGGGAGCGAAAUAAACAUUCAUGCAACGUGUUGGUUUCUUAAGAAACAAACCCUGAAUGUUUCAGAGGCAGUGACGUGUGUGUAUGUGUGUGUGUGUGUGUGUCUGUGUGUGUGUGUGUGUGUGUGAUGCCGUACACUUUGACUCGCCGCUGCAUUUUUAAUAUUAAUGUUUCUAUCUGUGAGACAAACUCAUUUUAGCUCCUUCUCUCUCCCAGCAGACGCUGCUCCCCGCGGGGGUUCGGGGGCCCGAGUGUAAUAGUCGUGUGUUUUGGAAACGCGCCUUUCAAAGGCGUGUUUUUGGCCACCGCCAAACAAUCCGGAUCGACUAUUGUCCUCCGCUUGUUCAUUAUGGAUGAAGUAUAACUAACUCGCUGGCGCGCUGAGUCAUAAAUAAAGCUGCAGCACACUUUAUUAUUACCCACUGAGCACGCUGACAGGCCUUUGACGGCACAUUAUUCCUCACAUUUUCUACCUUUCCAAAUGCUCUAUGAAACAUUUUAUUAAUGGGGAUCGCUGAUCGCCUGGUAGUUUUGAAAGGAUUAUAGAACCAGUUUCUGUGCCGUGGAAAGAAAAGUAAAGUUUUCAAAAGAGAAAAGGAAACACAACAUUCUUAUGCAUCAUUCCUUCAUGUAUUUCUUCAGCAUAAUAAGAAUCUGGUCGAGAUUAAAAACCUAAAACAAAGGACCUCCUUUAUCUCUUGUUACCUUGGCCACCAGGGGCUUGUAUAUAAAAGCCUAAGAGGCAAUUGAGCUGUUUAAUAUCAUGCAAUAAUCAGCAUGAUAAAGUCUAUUAAAUAUCGCGAGCCGUCCUGAUGAGGCCAUUAAUCAAGCAAGUUAAAGACUUAAUUAGCACACAUUGAUACGUUUACACACUUCACAUUCAACCCGGCUACGUCCUAAAUAUGUCAAUUAACCUGACCAUUGCGCAGAUUCGGCCGCGACGAUCUUCAAAAGCUCGGAUCGGAUCAGUCGAUCCGUCACCGGGGGAAGUUUUCUACACGGCCACCGGAGCUCCGUCCUCGUGUGCGAUAACGUCCCGCAGUCGGCGCACGCAGGGCCGCAGCCUCGUAAACACACGCCAGUGAUACGACGCCGGCUUCACGGCCAAAUGUGUGAAAUUUGGCUUGAUUGGUCUGCCUGCCUUUUUGCCCGCCGAUGCAAAAACAACUACAUUGUUAAUUUAAGCGACAACAACGUAAAAAAAACGCAGACACAAUGAAUAUAAUGGAGAACUUGAUGCAUCGUGGCCCAAAUGUCUCGUUAGCAAUGGGGGCUCUCAGCUGAUCCCUCGCUUUCAUCCAGACUGAAACAACUGAACAUCAACUGGAUGGAUUGCGAUGAUGUGUAAAUACAAGACGUAAUCUUCAUCAUCAUCUUGUUUGGUUCAUUAGCAAAUACCUGCCACACUCAGCUUGACCUGUCAGCGCUAAUUAGCGAAUGUUAGCGGGCUGAACGGGAGACUCGACAUCUGCAUUGUGGCCUCGCCGUGCGCGUGACUUCAGCCAUCGGUUCAAAGCACGGCUGCAUUGACUAAUUCUGUCCAACUGAAGUAUUAUAACACUAAACAAAUUGGCAGUAUUGAAUUAACAUUAUGGGCCACACUCGAACCACUCUGAAGGCGCUCAGUGUGUUUUUCAUUAUUGUUCCUGGGAUUUAUAAUUUAGAUGAUAUCAAUCUGUUUAACAUUUGACCUUGGUAAUGUUCUCACAAGGCAGGUUCAAUGAAACCUUUUCUUUUAUUUAAGAGAAUUAAACAAGUUGACAUUAUAAACCAGUAAAUGAUAAUCGGUUCAAUUUAAAUGGACAAAUAUUAAAUAUGGCCCCGAACAUUUAUGAAACUCUACAGAUAUAGAGACAGAUAUAUACAGUAUAUACAGAGAUAUACUGUAAUGUGAUGUCGCAGCAUGUGUUCUUAUUAAACAAUGGGCGAAACACAACACCUCAAAAAUACUCUGCUGUGAAGAUGAAAUAUUAAUGUGAUCGCCUUGUUCCUUUUCUUUGUCCUGUCUUCUCUUUCAUUCUCCUUCACAAAAUGUCAAACAACCAAAUCUAAAGUGGCGACAUGAAUGUAACUAAAAAAAACGCAAGGUUGCAUUAUCAAACCACCAAAUACACAAUAAGUACACUUUAUUUUGUUAAAAGACCCACUCUUCAUCAUCUUGAUGUGUUCUUCUUGCUUAUUAAGUUAAAUAUAAUCAUCUCAUCCUUUAUUUCAAUAGGGCUUAAAUGCAUUCGAUCCAGACUUUCGGUAGUUUUUUGCAGUGCAGGUUCACGUGAGAUUCAAUAUAAGUUAAUUACUGUCUCCUUGAGCCCCCCCUUGCCUUCCCACCUGAAGCUGAUGAAAGACCGCUCAUAGAUUUCAAAGGAGGGUUUUGUGACGUCACCUGGGAGCCAGCCGGACAUAUUAGGGACAGCGGGGUCGGUUGGAGCCAUUAACAUCUAUCCUCUCCGAUAGGUUUAGCACUUAGGCUUAGGGGUGGGUGUGGGUUGAGAAAAGAUGAAGUCAGUAAUAAUUCCAGUACCCUCAAAGUGAUACUGAUGUUAAUAAAGUGCUCCAUUCGAUAGCUGAUCCCAGCGGGUGGCUAAUAGCCGCCGCGCUGCGCCGCGCUGCAGAGUGCUCGCUCAGCAGAAGGCCGACUCAACUCCUCUGUUUGUUUGUUGGUCGCAAAAAGGAUGGACGGCAGGAAUCAUUUGACUGGAGGGAUUUCACCACCACGUGGCACUGGUUUAUUUUGACCGAGAUCUUCCUUUUCUUGCAGGUUGAGGGGAAGCAUGAGGUGUUAUACUCACAAAUGAUGGCGUGCAAUGCAGGCAAGCGAGAACAUCUCCUGCAAACAUCCAAAACACAACAUCGAGCAGCAUCAUUUUAACUGAGAGUGGAAUUCACUCAGCGUAAUUAACCGUGUCCGUGGGAAGUGUGAUUAAACAGCUGGGAUUGUAGAUGCUGUAAAAGUAAAGACAAAACACAACAGUUUUCUCUUUCAACUGAAACGUAGGAUUUCCUUUCUCUUACUGUCUCAAAGGAAAACUACCAUGACAAUGUUUAAUGUUAUCAUUAAAGCUGCAUUAUUAAGCUUGACAAACUAGUUCAGCAUCAGCUGUGCCGAGUAGCUUGUUUAUUUGUUGACUUACUAAGGAUGCCCGUAAACAGGACACCAGUGUGAGCGCUAAUCUUUAAGAUUAGAUAUUAACACAAAGUCAAACAAAACUAACGAGCUCAAAGCUUUGCUACUAUUUAUGACAUAUGAGCAUUUAGAUGCUGCUUCCAAUGUUAGUCAUGCAAAUUAAACAGAAAUGUUACUACCGUGACGUGAGAAUAAUUAAAACAUAAAAGUGGGCUUGUUGAGAUAAUAUUGAUUUGAUUCAAAUCGUUUCAAAGUAACGAGUAAUGAUCCAAUAGCAAUUUUCCGACGCUGCUGUAAAUGUUGAAUCGAUACUUGAUAAGAAAACAUUUUCCAUUGUCGUCUAAGAAAAUCCCUCAACCUGAAUCUGGCAACGUAGUGGUUUGGAUUUUUACCUAAAACGUUUUUUCCUUCCUGCCAAACUGUCGGACAAAAGCCAAGCAGCAGCCCCCCCCCCCCCCCCCUACAAACAGGCCGUCGACUGCCGCCGCUUUGUACCUCGCCUCACCUGCUCAGCAUCACGUGGGCUGGACGCUCUGCACAGUGUGGACACCCAGCCGGGCUGCUGCAUCCCGGUCUUGGUCGCUUUAUCCCGCAAAAACCAUUUGCUUGGGCGCCACGCGGGAGCUUCGGGUCCCCGAGGGUCUUUGUAUGGAACAAACCAGAAAAAGUAGAUAAAAAAAAAAAAACUAUGAAAACGAGCCGAAACGCAGCUGGUAGCGACGCUGAAUGAAACUGUUUAUCCUCCAACCAAAGCAAUUGUCUGGGGUUUGAACAAGCCAGCUGUGUUUUUAUUUAACUUUAUUGUGCGACUCCGUGUGUGUGUGUGCGCGUCUGGUUUUGUUUGCUCCACGGCGGCUUGCGGUGACAAAAGGACACUUUUUUUUUUGAGUUCUGCCAGGGUGAUUAUAACACACACACAAAGACCCAUAUGCAUGCCGACUCGCACACACAAACACGAACGUGACAGCCGGCUUCGGACCAGUCUGACUGACAGGAACUGAGAUACUAUUUCUGCUCACUCAGACAGAGACGCAUCCCAACAAUCACCUUGAGACGGCGCCGGUGGACGAGGCCGGAUUAGAUGUGCAGCAGAUAAAAGCCGAGCAUCUAAUUAGCACAAUGAGGAUUUCUGCCGUCCGGCUGAGUCAGCCGCCGUGUCGUCAACCUUUUGUUCCGGGGGAGGGAAAGUGUUUCCUGGGAUACGCGUCGGUGUGUUUAGAGAGGUUUGCGCAGUGUGCACAAGUAGGAACAUCGGCGUGCGUUUUGUGUGUGUUUUGGUGUGUGCGGGCUCGACACAAUCAUUCACUAAAAUACUGAAUACAAAUGAUUUCUGUUUCAAUGCCGUUCGCCCACGUGCAGCAAAUACAAGUUGUCUGUGUUUGCAUUUUUAUUCUAAUGCGGACCAUUUUACGAGUGGAUGGAGAAAUUUGUUUUUUGGGGGGAGGAUUCAGCACAUACCUUUUAUGUCUAACAUUGCGAGCGUGCAGAGAUGCGUGUGGAAUGUUGAAUACCUCAAACUCCUUUGGUCAUCGGUGAGUUUCUAAAUCAUGUAUUCAGGAAAUGAUGUAAACAUGACUACUGCCCCCACCAGCCUGAAUGUAAUUAUACGCAUUUGACAGCAAACGUAAAAAGGUGACAUUCCUGCCGGCAGCUGUGAGGUGAUAGACAGAAAACACGUAGGCGUGAAAUAAUAUCGAGAAUAAGAAACUCGACUCCUAAUGCAAGAACAAUAAGACCGUAACUAAACUAAACUAAAUGAAGAGUUCCUUGAGAUUGAUAAAAAAGAUCAUUUACAGGCGCUUAAGAAACUCUUUGCAGAAUAGUCAACAAAGGUCCUCCAGAAAGAUCUAAUUCUGUACAGUAUGCAUGUUUAAAGCGGAGAUGAGAGACGGAGGCGGCUGCAGGGCGGCAGUCACAUACCAUCAUAAGCCAUAUAGCUUAUCAUGAUGCAUAGCAAGGGCAUCCGUGAUAAAUCAAAACCAUUUUCAUGUCUUGGCCGUUGCCAAGCCGCAUCCAAUAAAAGACCAUCGCUCAUUAGCUCUGCGUUUAAUCAUGGUCGCCAGACAUUUCUAAUCCUUCUCCAGUGCAUCACGAAGACGUGCUGCAAACACAAAAAGCCAGCAGACAGACUCGACAAAAGACUCUGAACCUUUUCUGUGGCUUUGGUGCAGUGGGGGGUGGAGAGGGGGGCUCACAGCCCGAAAGCCGAAAUUAAAUUGCCAACUUCGUUUGCUUCUUUUAUUAGAAAACCAGCAUCCAAAAGGUAUUAAUCACAACUUCAGAUCUCUGGCAGAUUUGUCUGAUAAAGCACUAAUCUGUUGUCGUCUCGGUGUUCAUAACGGGAAAAGUCUCAGGAGCAGCACGUCGGAUAAAAGCCAUCACAAAGCGAUCAAGCACAAGAGGAAGCAGAGGCGCUUUUCUUCUUAAGUGAGAGGGGGGGAAAA